GUUGCCUUUGGACUUACACCUUGAAAAUCUCUCAGAUGACAUUGCUGCUUUACUCUCCACCACCCAUAAUGCAGAAGGCAGUGGCAGAAGCAUGAGCAUGAAAUGAGUCUCUAACAAGAGAAACUGCAGCAUCAAGAGGCCACAUUAGGUGACUACAUAAGUAUUACUUUCUUUUUUGUGCUGCCAUGCAGAAAGUAAUUCACCAUCUCCCUGGUGUCUGCAAUUCUUCAGCUUUUCCUGAAGAUAAAGGACAAAGAG